rnacentral:lncRNA from 1 species
UAUAUAUAUUAUCUUUUUUUUUCUUUCACCUCUGAUAUAGCCUGUUGAGAGAAGAAGAACAACUUAAACUGCACAGUAUACAACAUACACCACCAGUUGAUAAUAAUCGGACACGUAGAUUUUGUGACAGUAACGAAAAACCGCAGCUGGGUUCUUUAUUUUGCUUGUUGUUUUUUUAUUUUUUAUUAUUUUUCUUUUCCUUCUCUCGUUCCUUCUCUUUGUACCUCUAAACUUGUUGUGUUGGUGUUGUUAAACUCUUGUUCCUUUUCUUUAUCGUUCCUCUUUUGUUUUCGAAACGUUUUACUUAUGCACCGAGACGCGUAUCUAUGUCACGUUCGCGUUUGUAUGGUUUAAACAACACACUGAACGAUAUCUGUUUCCUCUCGAUCGAAACACGAGUGCCAGGAGCCAGUAGUAGUAUUAGUAGCGGUAGCGAAACGCGAUACUAGCAGAAACGGAACCCGUAAUCUUUCAUUAUAAUUUCGGUCGGUUGUCUUCUUGCGGCAAGAAAGUUAAAUAAUAAUGUUCGCCGCGUUAAUUUCUCCUUAUUAAUCGGAACGAACUUUUAUUGGUAAACCGUUAAAACUGUCAUCAGUUCACGACGACCACCGCAAUUGCAUACUUCGAGGAAUUAUAACCCAUUGCUUUAAGCUUACGCUUAUCAGCCGCCGUCGGUCGCCACUGACCGCUGCUGCACCUCCUGCCUUCUCCUGGGGAUCCCGGUUAGCGACGGUGCUGCUACCGCGUCGUUUCACGUCGGUACUAAAACAGCCCGACGAUAUUUUGGGGCCUGGGUUAUUGUAAUUGCGGCAAAUCCGUUCGAGUACAUUUCUACGCGGCAACAUGAACGCCAUUUUUUUUUCUCAUUUUACCUCUGGGACUACUUCGCGACCGCGGAAUACGCGACAUGCGCAGUCGGCAAUAACUCGGUUGUACAGCUCGAGGAAAAGCCUGUCGACUGCUGUCGUCAUUCGGCAGAGCCAGGCACGUUUCUUUUCAUGAAACACGAACAACCGCCUAUCCUCUGCGUCGAUGCAUGUAUGUAUGUACAUACAAACAAAUAAACGCGCAUGCGUAUAGGUUUAGCGAGUGCAAGUUUACAUUCGUAGAAAUGAUGGAUGAAUUAUAAUAAAAUACGGUGUUAAAAAUUAAUAGAGAAAUAUUUGUUCAUUUACAAUGAAUUUUGAACCAUAAGAUCGAUUUGAAAUUCGCAACUGUAUAUUAGUAUCGUUGAUGCACAGGUAGGUAUAGAUAGGUGUAAUUAGCAUAUAGGUGUAUACGUACACCUUGUUCGAGCUGAUUAUUCCGGCCAGAGACAAUGACGAAAAUUUACGCGUUACAACAUGUAUACACAUACGUAUAUCUAUACAUGUACGCAUAUUAUGAAUUAUUCAGUAUCCGGAUAAUAAAUUAUCGGUUAAACUGUU